UAGUCAUAUGCUUGUCUCAAAGAUUAAGCCAUGCAUGUCUAAGUAUGAACGAGAUUAUACAGUGAGACUGCGGAUGGCUCAUUAAAUCAGUUAUAGUUUAUUUGAUGGUUCCUUUUUCUUUUUCCACUACUUGGAUAACCGUAGUAAUCCUAGAGCUAAUACAUGCCAACAACCCCGACUAAGGGGUGGGAGGAAGGGAAGGGGCAACUCUUCUUUUCUUCUCACGCUCACCCUUCGGAAGGGGCGUAUUUAUUAGAUAAAAAACCGACGCAGGGCUCGUCCCUGGACCUUCGGUGAGUCACGGUAACUCGAUCGGAUCGCAUUCAAACAACCCUUCUCCUUCGGGGGGAGGGUUGGCGACGAUUCAUUCAAAUUCCUGCCCUAUCAACUCUCGAUGGUAGGAUAGAGGCCUACCAUGGUCGCAACGGGUAACGGGGAAUUAGGGUUCGAUUCCGGAGAGGGAGCCUGAGAGAUGGCUACCACUUCUAAGGAAGGCAGCAGGCGCGCAAAUUACCCAAUCCCGACACGGGGAGGUAGUGACAAUAAAUAACGAUGCGGGUCUCGACAAGAGCCUCGCAAUCGGAAUGAGCACGGCUCAAACCCCCUAACGAGUAGCGAUU
rnacentral:rRNA from 1 species